rnacentral:rRNA from 1 species
CCCUUAGAUGCUCUGGGCCGCACGCGCGCUACACUGGUCGAUGCAACGAGUUUCUUUCCUUGGCCGACAGGCCUGGGCAAUCUUUGAACAUCGAUCGUGAUCGGGAUAGAUUCUUGUAAUUUUUGAUCUUAAACGAGGAAUUCCUAGUAAACGCAAGUCAUCAGCUUGCAUUGAUUACGUCCCUGCCCUUUGUACACACCGCCCGUCGCACCUACCGAUUGAAUGGUCCGGUGAAAUCUCCGGACUGGCGGGAGUCGGAGCAAUCUGACAAACGCCGGAAAGUUGAUUAAACCUUACCAUUUAGAGGAAGGUGAAGUCGUAACA